rnacentral:rRNA from 1 species
AUGAUCAUGAGGCCCAUGAGGAGGAGGACGCUAGUGACGGUGAAGGAGAUGGAGAAGAAGAAUCCGCCGAGCAAGGAUCACGCGAAGAAAGGAGAUUCAAAGACUGUUCCCAAGAAGACGUAUAGCCCAUUAGUAGAAGCAUUUGGUGUGAUGCAAAGAGAUAGUGUUGAUCUGAAAAUCAUGGAGUUUAUUACUGCAAAUGGUAUUCCUUUCAAUGUGAUGAGAAGCCCUCAAUAUUAUGAAAUGGUAUCUGCAAUGAAACAAGCUCCAAAGGACUACAAACCACCAUCAUAUGAGAAAGCCAGAACCACACUUUUAGAUGCAUGCAAGGCAAAUGUCGAGAAAGAGUUAGCACCAGUUCGAGAAACAUGGUAUACGCAUGGUGUUUCUAUUGUUAGCGAUGGAUGGAUGAAUAUUGAAAAGGAGCCACUCAUUAAUGUCAUAGCUUCGAAUAGUCGUGGAUCGAUGUUUCUCUAUGCAGAAGAUUUCUCUGGAACUGAGAAAAGUGGUGAAGCUAUUGCUGAAUUUUUAUUAAAAGCUAUUGAUGAAAUUGGUCCAUCGAAUGUUCUUCAAGUAGUGACAGAUAAUGCCUCAAAUUGUAGAGUAGCUGGCAAAGCAAUUGCGGAUGUAAGUGCAUGAAAAGCUCCUAAUCAAGAUAGUGAGGUUAUGCCUGCUGUUUUAGAGGCUUUUGCCAAGAUAGCAGAAGAUGAAUAUGAGGAAAAUCUACUGCGUAUGCAGUUUAAUCACUUCGUCACAAAGAAGGGGAUGUUUGCAAUGCAUGCUGUUCAAUUAGAUGCUGUCACAAUGAAUCCCAUUGAUUGGUGGUUCAGUUAUGGUGCCGAAACUCCAGAGUUGGCUGAGGUAGCGAAGAAAGUUUUGUCCCAGCCUAUUAGUAGCUCAUCGGCUGAGAGAAAUUGGAGUACGUACUCUUUUAUCCACAAUGUCAAGAGGAAUAAGCUUAAUGGGAAGAAUGCAGACAAGCUCGUCUAUAUCCAUGCGAAUAUACGCCUACUGUCCAGGUUUAGAGAAAGUUACAAGAACGGGCCACAUUACAAGUGGGAUGUAUAUCCAGAUAAUUCUUCAUUAGAGGAAUCAAGCUCCAAACUUGAGGAGCUUCGUUGGAAGAACUUAGAGGAUAAUUCUGUUGAUGAUGAACCACCUAUGGAUGAAGGAACACAACCAACAAAAAGGCAGAAGACCGCAAAGACUAAGAAAUAA